UUCCUGGAUUCUUCAGUGAUGAUGAGCAGAGUCUGAGUGAACCUGCUGUCAGACAGGUUGGCCUGAUUGACGAUGUCAUCGUUUCUAUAGACAGUUGUGAACGUGCUGACAGCUGGUUGCCCAGGCUAUGGAUUAAAGGUAAUACUGUUGGCCAGCAGAGCCCUGCUCACCCUGUCGGCCCACCGCUGCUGUCAGACAACAUCUCAAAGAUGCUAUAAACUGCAGGACCAGAUGGCCAUCCCAAGGUUUCUAGAGAUUACAGCAGCUCCAGACUGAAUCCAAACUCACUUUUGAAGACUUCAGAUGACACCCAAGGCUCACAAAGACUACAGACGACAACUGUACAUGAACACACAAAACAUUGGACACACAAAACAAAUAUUAUCCUUAUUUUGCCUAUAAGGGUAAAUUUGAUGAUUUUCAAACUACUUUAUUGUAACGUCUCUUAUAUCUGUAAAUGAACAAUAUUUACUCUC